rnacentral:lncRNA from 1 species
CACAAAAGUAUAUACAUUUAAAGUCUCAUUACGAGGGGAACAUUAUCUUCGACAAUAAACAAAAUGUGUGUAAAAAUAACACGACGAGUUGUCAAAGUUCAUUCUAAAUAAAUCUGUUCAUUUUGCUCUAAUAAAAGAAGCUACGAAGAAACAACAGUACAAAAAAAUUAUAUAUCUGUAUGUGUAUAGGUGCAUGUAAAGAAAUGCAAUGAUCCAUUCAAUAAUGUUAGAAAAUGACUGGUGAUGAAUCACAUUACAGGUAAUGUUUCAUGCAUACAAAUAUUUUACAACUUCCUAAUAAAUUAUCAAUGUCCCUUGAUUACCGGAGAAACCUUAAAUUCGACAAUGAACAAACUAUAAAAUAUAGUAAAAAAAGUUGUCAAGUACUUUUAAGGAUGUUCGCUACUCUGUUUAACAAUAACAAGCUUUUUAAAAGACUAUUAUAAAUUAAAAGUAUAUAAAUAAAGAAAAUGAAAAAGCAGAAUAAAGUGUGCUUGUUUUCUAGAUAUAAGCCGUUGAAAAUUUGGCGGGAAAUAAUUCUCUCUAGAUUUUUCUACACAUAACAUGGCACCUUCUUUGUUUAAAAGACUAUGAAAAAAUAACAAGGAUUUCAUAAGAGUUUGAAAUAUGGCUUUUUAAAUAAUAUGUAAUAAAAAUAUGAAAAGAAAAGUAGGGGUUAGUGGGCAAUUUGAAUGUUAAUACAUGGAUAAAACCAGAGGAUUCCGAAAAUCUGGCUGAAAUUCAAAAAAGUAAAGGAGCAAACAUCCUUAAACAGAUUUUAUUAAAUAAAGGCAACAGUAGUAUACCGCUGUUCAAAACUCAUAAAUCCAUGGACAAAGAACAAAAUCGGGAUAACAAACUAAAACCGAGGGAAACGCAUUAAAUAUAAG